rnacentral:lncRNA from 1 species
GCAUCUUAGAGCAAGACAAACUAAACCAAAGCAACCAAAAAAAAAACCAACAACCUGUGCUAUUUUGUGUUUAGGUGGGUGACAAAUUCCCUCCCAGAAACCUGCACACCUGGAUGUAGACAAAUAAAGAAAGUCUUGAGCAAACUAAAAGGGAAUACCUCCAUACUCUAGAAAAUAUGUUUAGGAAAAGGAGAUUUUUAUCUUGUGCCCCUUGUUUUAGGUUAGAGUUGAAUAAGUACCUUCAUUCUAGAUACACGGGGUUCCUGUAAGUGACAGAGCAAAAAAUAUUGCAGCAAAAAAAAAAAAAAAACCAACCCUUGAAUUCCAAAAAUACCGUCUCCUUUCAAAGUAAGAUUUAUAUGCAAGAAGACAAUCUCUCUUACAGAGUUUUUCCUGUCUCUCAGAGUCUACUCACUGGAAACAAGCAGCCGAUUUAAAAAGAUAUUGGAAGAACAGCUUGGACACAGAGAAAGGAAUGACCUGGAGUCUUAAAAAACAGACAAGCUUUUCAGUAGCUUGGCACUUGGAACAAGAAGCUAAAAGUCACAUAAGAGUGACCAGUAUCCUGUCAGGGAGGUCAACAGAAGUUUAGCUGCUGACUCGGUGAACAGGACUGCAACCUGUAUCUGUGAUUAGUGAUGAAAUGAAACCCACGGCUUGAAAUCAUUUAUCCAGCGUAUCCGAUCAAACACAAACAUCCUCUGCACUUGGAAAUAAAUGAGGGUUGGAGCCAGCUCGCCUCUGCAGAGUUGCAUGUGAAGAUAAGGGACCUGUGAGACGAAAGGAGAAAGCUGAUGGAACAGCUGGCAAGGUCUGCCCACCGUGAGAUGCAGUAACAUCAGAAACAAUCCGUGUGGUUCCUCAGCACCCCUGUGGCACCUGCAGCUGCCAGGAAGGAGGGUCCUCAUGCUCAGGCAGCCCCACCAAAUGGCAACAGCCCCUCCAGUUUUGUUCUACUCCUCCGUUUCACAGCAGCUGUGUCCGACGUGUCGGUGCUAAAGCAGAAGCUGAGGAUCUUUCCUUCUCCCUUUUUCACCCUCGCUCACUCUCACUGCCUUGUAACCACGAACAGUGAGUAAAAAUAUUCAUGUUUCAGUCCAGUACCUUUUUGCACGCCUCACACUAGAGGUUUUUUUCCAUUCCCCUGGGGUUGGGCAGGCCUCGAUUAUCACU